CUGGAAAUGUUCAAAAAAUUUAGAGUCAAAAGGGCUAAUUGUAACUGCCUAUGGGGCGUGGUAUACUCCUUACUGCUUCCCCCUUUCUUUUGUUUUUCCAAUUGUGUCUUAAGAGUCCGAAUGGCCCUUUCUACUGUGGCCUGACCUUGCAAAUUAUAGGGUAUUCCUGUAGUGUGUACAAAUUUCCAUUGCUGAACAAAACUUUCAAAAGUUUUACUGCAAUAUCCUUGUCCGUUGUCCGUUUUCAUUUUCUGUGGCACACUCUUACCCAAUAAGUUGCUUUUCCUUUGCUAUCAGUGCUGCCGAAACCACCUUCUCUUUUUACUGUACUUUCUCCUACU
rnacentral:lncRNA from 1 species